AUUAUAUUUUUUUUGUAAAUACAUUUUGAAUCGUUCUAAUUACAUGAUUAUAUUGAUAUGAGCUUAAAUUAGUUUUUUUUCCUCUAGGUCUGUUUUUGCUUAUUUGUACAUAGUUUUCAAAAUAACCUCACAAAUUUAUUUAAUUCCAGUAGAUACUAUAUCGGCCUGCAUAUUAUUAUAUUAUUAACAAAAACGAAUGGAAUCGUCGUAUAAUAUUUAAGAUGACCGGUAAAAUAAUUACCACAGUAUCAGAAUG